rnacentral:rRNA from 1 species
ACAAGCAGCGGAGCUAUGUGGUUUAAUUCGAAGACAACGCGAAGAACUUACCAAGGCUUGACAUCCCCUUGACAGGUGCAAAGUAUGUACCCUUCUCUUCGGAGACAAGGGUGACAGGUGGUGCAUGGUUGUCGUCAGCUCGUGUCGUGAGAUGUUGGGUUAAGUCCCGCAACGAGCGCAACCCUUAUCCUUAGUUGCCAGCAGGUAAAGCUGGGCACUCUAAGGAGACUGCCGGUGAUAAACCGGAGGAAGGUGGGGAUGACGUCAAAUCAUCAUGCCCCUUAUGUCUUGGGCUACACACGUGCUACAAUGGUCGGUACAACGGGGAGCUAAGGAGUGAUCCGGAGCAAAUCCCAAUAAACCGAUCCCAGUUCGGAUUGUAGGCUGCAACUCGCCUACAUGAAGUCGGAGUUGCUAGUAAUCGCGAAUCAGAACGUCGCGGUGAAUGCGUUCCCGGGUCUU